UACGAAGGGGCUAGCGUUGCUCGGAAUCACUGGGCGUAAAGGGUGCGUAGGCGGGUCUUUAAGUCAGGGGUGAAAUCCUGGAGCUCAACUCCAGAACUGCCUUUGAUACUGAAGAUCUUGAGUUCGGGAGAGGUGAGUGGAACUGCGAGUGUAGAGGUGAAAUUCGUAGAUAUUCGCAAGAACACCAGUGGCGAAGGCGGCUUACUGGUCCGGUUCUGACGCUGAGGCGCGAAAGCGUGGGGAGCAACAGG
rnacentral:rRNA from 1 species